UUUACAUCAAUAUCUAUUUAUCUUUUAAUCAUAUCCCAAAUAUCCAAAUUCAUUUCAUUUACAAUUUCUAAACCAUCAUUCAAAUAAUACUUUACAUUGUUAAUAUACAUUAUGGAAAGGAAAAAACAAAGUACAUCCAAUGCCAGUUGCAAGAAGGAAAUCAAAAGCUAGCGCAAGCCAAAGCUAAAACCGCGGCAACAAGCGAAAAGUGGCUCGAGUCCAGCUCCCUAGUAGUGUGUCUCCCUUUGUAUCUGGUUAGAAUUUCUUUCCCGUUCAGGGGAACUACGUUGCCCUGAUCCUCAUACCAGAUGAGGUACGUAG
rnacentral:lncRNA from 1 species